rnacentral:rRNA from 1 species
UACAGAGGUCUCAAGCGUUGUUCGGAUUCAUUGGGCGUAAAGGGUGCGUAGGCGGCGCGGUAAGUCGGGUGUGAAAUUUCGAGGCUUAACUUCGAAACUGCAUUCGAUACUACCGUGCUUGAGGACUGGAGAGGAGACUGGAAUUCCUGGUGUAGCGGUGAAAUGCGCAGAUAUCAGGAGGAACACCGGUGGCGAAGGCGGGUCUCUGGGCCGAUACUGACGCUGAGGAGCGAAAGCGUGGGGAGCGAACAGG